rnacentral:rRNA from 1 species
CUCAGGACGAACGCUGGCGGCGUGCCUAAUACAUGCAAGUCGUACGCUUCUUUUUCCACCGGAGCUUGCUCCACCGGAAAAAGAAGAGUGGCGAACGGGUGAGUAACACGUGGGUAACCUGCCCAUCAGAAGGGGAUAACACUUGGAAACAGGUGCUAAUACCGUAUAACAAUCGAAACCGCAUGGUUUUGAUUUGAAAGGCGCUUUCGGGUGUCGCUGAUGGAUGGACCCGCGGUGCAUUAGCUAGUUGGUGAGGUAACGGCUCACCAAGGCCACGAUGCAUAGCCGACCUGAGAGGGUGAUCGGCCACAUUGGGACUGAGACACGGCCCAAACUCCUACGGGAGGCAGCAGUAGGGAAUCUUCGGCAAUGGACGAAAGUCUGACCGAGCAACGCCGCGUGAGUGAAGAAGGUUUUCGGAUCGUAAAACUCUGUUGUUAGAGAAGAACAAGGAUGAGAGUAACUGUUCAUCCCUUGACGGUAUCUAACCAGAAAGCCACGGCUAACUACGUGCCAGCAGCCGCGGUAAUACGUAGGUGGCAAGCGUUGUCCGGAUUUAUUGGGCGUAAAGCGAGCGCAGGCGGUUUCUUAAGUCUGAUGUGAAAGCCCCCGGCUCAACCGGGGAGGGUCAUUGGAAACUGGGAGACUUGAGUGCAGAAGAGGAGAGUGGAAUUCCAUGUGUAGCGGUGAAAUGCGUAGAUAUAUGGAGGAACACCAGUGGCGAAGGCGGCUCUCUGGUCUGUAACUGACGCUGAGGCUCGAAAGCGUGGGGAGCAAACAGGAUUAGAUACCCUGGUAGUCCACGCCGUAAACGAUGAKUGCUAAGUGUUGGAGGGUUUCCGCCCUUCAGUGCUGCAGCUAACGCAUUAAGCACUCCGCCUGGGGAGUACGACCGCAAGGUUGAAACUCAAAGGAAUUGACGGGGGCCCGCACAAGCGGUGGAGCAUGUGGUUUAAUUCGAAGCAACGCGAAGAACCUUACCAGGUCUUGACAUCCUUUGACCACUCUAGAGAUAGAGCUUCCCCUUCGGGGRCAGAGUGACAGGUGGUGCAUGGUU